AUUGAACGCUGGCGGCAGGCCUAACACAUGCAAGUCGAACGGUAACAGGAAGCAGCUUGCUGCUUUGCUGACGAGUGGCGGACGGGUGAGUAAUGUCUGGGAAACUGCCUGAUGGAGGGGGAUAACUACUGGAAACGGUAGCUAAUACCGCAUAAUGUCGCAAGACCAAAGAGGGGGACCUUCGGGCCUCUUGCCAUCGGAUGUGCCCAGAUGGGAUUAGCUAGUAGGUGGGGUAAAGGCUCACCUAGGCGACGAUCCCUAGCUGGUCUGAGAGGAUGACCAGCCACAAUGGAACUGAGACACGGUCCAGACUCCUACGGGAGGCAGCAGUGGGGAAUAUUGCACAAUGGGCGCAAGCCUGAUGCAGCCAUGCCGCGUGUAUGAAGAAGGCCUUCGGGUUGUAAAGUACUUUCAGCGGGGAGGAAGGGAGUAAAGUUAAUACCUUUGCUCAUUGACGUUACCCGCAGAAGAAGCACCGGCUAACUCCGUG
rnacentral:rRNA from 1 species